AUACGGAGGGUGCAAGCGUUGUUCGGAAUCACUGGGCGUAAAGGGCGCGCAGGCGGUUUGAUAAGUCAGAUGUGAAAGCCCACGGCUCAACCGUGGAAGUGCAUUUGAAACUGUCAGACUUGAGUACUAGAGGGGAAAGUGGAAUUCCCGGUGUAGAGGUGAAAUUCGUAGAUAUCGGGAGGAAUACCGGUGGCGAAGGCGACUUUCUGGCUAGAUACUGACGCUGCGGCGCGAAAGCGUGGGGAGCAAACAGGAUUAGAUACCCUUGUAGUCC
rnacentral:rRNA from 1 species